UUCCGGUGUCCAGAUGCUCUCCCGACAGCAUUACGAAGUGAGGAACAACUCUCAGAAUUGGUUCGUGAAUGUCCAGAUAACUCCAUCAUCCAGGAAAAGAUGAAGAUUCUCAGUAAGCAUUAUGUGCUCUUCCGAAGAACUCGCCAAGAUGGCAGCUGCUUUUACAGAGCUUUUCUGUCUUCCUACAUGGAGAUCCUUCGACAAAUGCAAGAUAAACAAGCUGAGGUUACUCGUCUUAUGGAAUGUUUCGAAAUGUAUACAGAUAGAUUCUCUCGUCUUAAGUGGGACGAAGCAUACUUCUUAAAUCCUGAAAAAUACUUCUCAAGUGUUGUUUCUGAGCUCAAUGAGGUUCUCAACGUCAUUGCAGCAGGUUGUACUUCUGAAUGGCUGUACCAGAGAAGCCUGCAGGAGUCCUUUUCAGGCAGGAUUAUAUCUUUCCUUAGGUUGCUUACUGAGACUGAAAUCCGGACAGAAGAGUUCUACAAGCAAUCUAUCCCCAAAAAUGUGAAUGUCCUCCAGUUCUGUUGGAAAACGGUCCGAUCGCUGGAUGCUGAAGCUACCACUACACAAAUGAGGGCUUUGACAUACACGCUCGGCAUACCGUUGCGUGUCGAAGUCGUGGAUAAGAGCUCGACGGGUCAAGUUGUGUUAGUGAAGCGCCUCGAUUUCUUUCAUCAGUCAGACUUGAACAAGGGCCCUCUCCAUUUGACUCGGAGCUACCUUUCCUCGAGCACAGCUCCUAAACUGCUGGAGGAGGGAAGCAACGACGCCGACUUGUUAUCAUCUGAUGGCGCACCCUUGCUGACCUUGUUGUGUAGGCGUGGUCACUGUGACAUUCUUUACCGCAAGUGA
rnacentral:rRNA from 1 species